GACGAACUGUGCGAACGUUAUUCGGAAUUACUGGGCGUAAAGGGCUCGUAGGCGGCCAACUAAGUCAGACGUGAAAUCCCCAGGCUCAACCUGGGAACUGCGUCUGAUACUGGAUGGCUUGAAUCCGGGAGAGGGAUGCAGAAUUCCAGGUGUAGCGGUGAAAUGCGUAGAUAUCUGGAGGAAUACCGGUGGCGAAGGCGGCAUCCUGGACCGGCAUUGACGCUGAGGAGCGAAAGCCAGGGGAGCAAACGGG
rnacentral:rRNA from 1 species